UCCUACGGGAGGCAGCAGUGGGGAAUAUUGCACAAUGGGCGCAAGCCUGAUGCAGCCAUGCCGCGUGAUGAAGAAGGCCUUAGGGUUUAAAGCACUUUCGUCGUGAGGAAGGUGGUAAAGCUAAUAUCGGGAUGANUUGACGUUACCGA
rnacentral:rRNA from 1 species